UACGUAGGGUGCGAGCGUUAAUCGGAAUUACUGGGCGUAAAGCGUGCGCAGGCGGUGAUGUAAGACCGAUGUGAAAUCCCCGGGCUUAACCUGGGAACUGCAUUGGUGACUGCAUCGCUCGAGUAUGGCAGAGGGGGGUAGAAUUCCACGUGUAGCAGUGAAAUGCGUAGAGAUGUGGAGGAAUACCGAUGGCGAAGGCAGCCCCCUGGGUUAAUACUGACGCUCAUGCACGAAAGCGUGGGGAGCAAACAGG
rnacentral:rRNA from 1 species